rnacentral:pre_miRNA from 1 species
GUCUUCCUCUUCCUCUUCCUCUUCCACAUCCUCGUCAAGAAUUUCAGCAUCAUCGUUAGUUUCCAUAGCGACUUCAUUUUGCAUUUGUGAAGCUGAAUUGGUCCAGAUUUCAUUAACGAAGUCAUCGUCAUUAAACCCUGCUGCCAGAUUUUCUAUGGGAUUUGUUUGUGAAUUUGGCCAUUGAGGUGCAUAGCUUGUUUGGGGAUAGUUGACAAAGUGUGGAGGGGUUGGUAGGUUGAACGAGGAG